rnacentral:rRNA from 1 species
UAGGGAAUCUUCGGCAAUGGACGAAAGUCUGACCGAGCAACGCCGCGUGAGUGAAGAAGGUUUUCGGAUCGUAAACUCCGUUGGUAGAGAAGAACGUUGGUGAGAGUGGAAAGCUCAUCAAGUGACGGUAACUACCCAGAAAGGGACGGCUAACUACGUGCCAG